GGUGUCAUGGCAGAGUGGUAAUGCGGGGAACUGUUAAUUCCUUUAAAGCAGAGGUUCGAGUCCUCUUGGUGCCU
rnacentral:tRNA from 1 species